AAUUGAAAUGGAUGCUAAUGAAGGAAUGAUUUUAUAAUUAUAGAUCAAGAAAACGAACUAAAUCGUGGAAAGGAGAAAAUUCAAGAAUAGUCCUUGAAUUUCUACGACUUUUACAAAUUAGUCCAGAUUGACUUGAAGUGAAGUGGGUAGAUCGGAUCAACACAACAGGGCACACUAUUCAGAUCAAUUCCGGUAGUUUUUGUUUUAUGUUUAAAGAUUUAUAUGGCAUGUAUAGAGUUUGAAUGAAUUGAAGUAAAGAUGUUAUAAACUAGUUAACAAUAUUUGUACUAAAACAGUUUUCGGUAAGUAGCAGUAGUUUGACUUUGAAAAAUCACUAAAAAUAGUAGAAAUGGAAUUAAAUAAUGAAUAAAUUAUGGAAUCGAA